AAAAAAACAAACAAAAAAAAACAAAAAAUUCAAUCGUGGAUUACAAAAAAAGAAAAAAACAAUUCGAUCAUGGAUUACAAAAAAUUCAAUCAUGGAUUACAAAAAACUCUAUCAUGGGUUACAAAAAAAGCAAAAAACAAAAAAUUCGAUCGUGGAUUACAAAAAAAAAACAAACAUUUCGAUCAUGGAUUACAAAAAAAACAAACAUUUCGAUCAUGUAUUACAAAACAUUCGAUCAUGGAUUACAAAAAAUUCU
rnacentral:lncRNA from 1 species